rnacentral:rRNA from 1 species
GAUGAACGCUAGCGGCAGGCCUAACACAUGCAAGUCGAGGGGUAGAAGGAGCUUGCUCCUUUGAGACCGGCGCACGGGUGCGUAACGCGUAUGCAAUCUACCUUGUACAGGGGAAUAGCCCAGAGAAAUUUGGAUUAAUGCCCCAUAGUAUAUAACCUUCGCAUGUUGGUUAUAUUAAAGUUCCAACGGUACAAGAUGAGCAUGCGUCCCAUUAGUUAGUUGGUAAGGUAACGGCUUACCAAGACGAUGAUGGGUAGGGGUCCUGAGAGGGAGAUCCCCCACACUGGUACUGAGACACGGACCAGACUCCUACGGGAGGCAGCAGUGGGGAAUAUUGGGCAAUGGAGGAAACUCUGACCCAGCGACGCCGCGUGCAGGAUGACGGUCCUAUGGAUUGUAAACUGCUUUUGUACAGGAAGAAACACUCCCUCGUGAGGGAGCUUGACGGUACUGUAAGAAUAAGGAUCGGCUAACUCCGUG